CGGAAGGCAGCAGCGACAGCGACA
rnacentral:SRP_RNA from 14 species